rnacentral:rRNA from 2 species
UCUACUGUUUCUGUACGUGCAGUCGAGCGGCAGCCUUCCUUCGGGUUGCCGGCGAGCGGCGGACGGGUGAGUAAUGCCUAGGAAUCUGCCUGGUAGUGGGGGACAACUCGGGGAACUCGAGCUAAUACCGCAUACGUCCUACGGGAGAAAGCGGGGGAUCUUCGGACCUCGCGCUACCAGAUGAGCCUAGGUCGGAUUAGCUAGUUGGUGAGGUAAAGGCUCACCAAGGCGACGAUCCGUAGCUGGUCUGAGAGGAUGAUCAGCCACACUGGAACUGAGCCAGGGUCCACACUCAUACGGGAGGCAGCAGUGGGGAAUAUUGGACAAUGGGCGAAAGCCUGAUCCAGCCAUGCCGCGUGUGUGAAGAAGGUCUUCGGAUUGUAAAGCACUUUAAGUUGGGAGGAAGGGCAGUAAGCUAAUACCUUGCUGUUUUGACGUUACCGACAGAAUAAGCACCGGCUAACUUCGUGCCAGCAGCCGCGGUAAUACGAAGGGUGCAAGCGUUAAUCGGAAUUACUGGGCGUAAAGCGCGCGUAGGUGGUUUGAUAAGUUGGAUGUGAAAGCCCCGGGCUCAACCUGGGAAUUGCAUCCAAAACUGUCUGACUAGAGUAUGGCAGAGGGUGGUGGGAAUUUCCUGUGUAGCGGUGAAAUGCGUAGAUAUAGGAAGGAACACCAGUGGCGAAGGCGACCACCUGGGCUAUUACUGACACUGAGGUGCGAAAGCGUGGGGAAGCAAACAGGGAUUAGAUACCUUGGUAGUCCACGCCGUUAAACGAUUGUUCGACUAGCCGUUGGGAUCCUUGGAAGAUCUUUAGUGGCG